AGAUGAAAAGUGGGAACCCAGCUGCGUAAAAGAGAAACCAAGCGUCAGUUUUCUAAACCAGAAGAGCUCAGGCUAGACCUGCAAGAGGCUUCGCCGGAGCCAGAGUGCCUACCAUUCUCUAUCUCCCUCUCUCUCGAUAAGCCGGAUCUGAUUUUUUGUUUAUGAUAUUUUGGUAGAGGGGUUUAACCAUCUGAUGUUUUGAUUCUAAUGUUUGUUGAUUUGGGUUUUUUGGGUUUUUUGAUUCUGUAUAAAAAUCUUGGUCGUGAUAAGCAUGAUUGUGAGUUCUCUCUCUGUAUCUUUUCGUUAUAAGAGUUUAGUUUAAUUUGUUGCUUUUUUUGUUUUUUUGUUUUUUUUUGUUUUAUAAGUUGAUUAAAGGGAAUUUUUUUCCGUAGUUUUUCUAUUCUCUUCUAUUCAGGAAUUUUCUGUAGUUGAAAUUCCUUGUCUAUUAUUUUGAGCAAUUUGAGCUAUUUUGGCAUCUGGGUGUAGUUGACUUUGAAAUGAUAUAUGUAUUUUUGUUUUCUUUUUAAAGUCUGACGCUGUAAUUGGUGUUUGACUGAUAUUCUGCAAUUUUAGCAAUUUCGGCAUCUGGCUUAGUUGAUUUUGAAACAAUUUAAUUUCUUUUUGUGGGGUAAUUUGAGUUGGAUUGAAGUGAUUUUGAAACAUCAGUGUGCAAAAAGUUGUAGAAUUUUCACUACCAUUAUUUUCAGUCAAGGUGAUCCCAUGGCAGAGGCUUUGAAUUGCUGGAAUUAUUAGAUGCUGAAUGAGUCUAAUCUGAUGCAGAUACGUACCAUUGAUACUUAUUGAGAUGAGGUACUUCUCAAGACUGUGCCGUCCUCCUCUGGAACUUUCCCCUCAAUUAUUUCCACUGGAUCACCAAGAAUCAAUUGCUACCUGCCUCCAUAUUUUCUUACUAAUGACUAUAUUCUGUCUUUAACAAUUGCCUUAUUUAUUGUUUAAAAAAUGCAGCUGCAUUUUAUACUAUUGUAUCAUUUUGUUGGAUCAAUGAAAAUUUCUUAUUUAAA